AUAAAUAGCAGCCAUUCCUCUUUGUGAAGCAAAAUGUCGUGAUUUUUUAUCUCUUCCUCUUUGUGAGUAAGCAGCUAUAUUCUCCUCCUCUUUGUGAGAUAUUAUCCUUUGUGGGUUAUACAUGUACUUGGGUAAACUUAGUAUAUAUUUUUUAGGUCGAGCUUUGGAUUUUGGAGGAUUUUUAUGGUGUAGAUAUUGGAUUUAUAAACUGAUCCCCUUUAUGUACAUCAAUUGAAAGCUAAUGGCAAGUACUUUCAUCACAAAUUGGUAUCAGAGAUUGGUAUGUACAAAAAGUGUUGAAAUCAAUAGAACCAACCCUGCAAAUCCAUUUUUUAGUCAAACUAGACCCAUGGUGAACGACGGACACCAUGUUCCAACUCUAAAUGAUGAGGCAGAGCUGCAUGGCAGGUGCAUAGAGUAGUAGAGGCAACAGCAUGUACAUCACAUUACCAAAGACUGAGGCGGCACGUGGCGAUGAUUCCGACGAAGAUCUUUGAAGCCAGCUUGUUCUUGUCUGUAUUCCAGACCUACUAGUGGUGUUACUCUUGUGUUUCGUGUAGUUUGCUAGAAUCUUUAUAAUUUUUCCUUUGUGUAUUCGGUUGUCAGGUGCCUUUUUGUUUUCUGUAGUUGCUGAAAGUUUUAGGGCAAAUAGUGGUGGCCCCUUACUAUAAUUUUUUUUUUAUCUCCCAUUUAUUUACAGUUUGACAGAUUAGUCCAAUGGAUAAAUUGGUCUAUCUAUUUUACCUUCCUAUACUAGCAGGCCAUCGUGUUGGAUGAUCUUUAGGUUUGAAGUUACCAUGUGGGGUAAUCAUUACACGUUGCUAAAACUUAGGAAUUAUUUACCCUAUUUUUACAUGUUUGAAGUGUUGAAAAUUGUUAAUUUUUAUUGCUUAAAAUUGCUGAUUGAUUUUGUAAUAUAAUUGUUGGGUGAGUUACAUCAUGAGACUUGCAGUUAGUAAGAAAAUUUUGUUUUUGUUGGUAUAUCUCUAUUGUUGCAAUCACUGGAUUACUUUGUGUGAUUUAUUUGAGAUAAUUGUGUACUUGUGCAUUUUAGUUGAUAUGUGUCCUAAAAAUGACAUUUCACAAUUUUGAUUUGAG
rnacentral:lncRNA from 1 species